rnacentral:rRNA from 1 species
GACGAACGCUGGCGGCGUGCUUAACACAUGCAAGUCGAACGGAAAGGCCCUGCUUUUGUGGGGUGCUCGAGUGGCGAACGGGUGAGUAACACGUGAGUAACCUGCCCUUGACUUUGGGAUAACUUCAGGAAACUGGGGCUAAUACCGGAUAGGAGCUCCUGCUGCAUGGUGGGGGUUGGAAAGUUUCGGCGGUUGGGGAUGGACUCGCGGCUUAUCAGCUUGUUGGUGGGGUAGUGGCUUACCAAGGCUUUGACGGGUAGCCGGCCUGAGAGGGUGACCGGCCGCAGUAGGAGGAGGCUGCGGCCACGACUGGAGGGGGAGGCGGCAGAGGGGAGUAUAGGAGGGGGGGAGGAAGCGUGGUGCAGCAGGGCGGGGGGGGGUAUGGCGGUUUUCUGUUACUAACGCGUUUUCGCGGGGGACGAGGGGGGAGUGAAGGUAAUGGGGAAGAAGGAACGUGCUAACAAGGUGCCAGAGGCGGGGAUAAUAGAUCGGAAAGCAUACAUCUGAAC